AAAUGAAUAGACGGGGGCCCGCACAAGCAGUGGAGUAUGUGGAUUAAUUCGACGCAACGCGAAGAACCUUACCAGGGCUUGACAUCCCUUGACCGCUGUGGAAACACAGCUUCCCUUCGGGGCAAGGAGACAGGUGGUGCAUGGUUGUCGUCAGCUCGUGUCGUGAGAUGUUUGGUUAAGUCCAGCAACGAGCGCAACCCCUAUUGCCAGUUGCCAUCAUUCAGUUGGGCACUCAGGCGAGACCGCCGUUGACAAAACGGAGGAAGGUGGGGACGACGUCAAAUCAUCAUGCCCCUUAUGUCCUGGGCUUCACACGUACUACAAUGGCCGCAACAGAGGGCAGCAACACCGCGAGGUGAAGCGAAUCCCAAAAGGCGGUCUCAGUUCGGAUUGCAGGCUGAAACUCGCCUGCAUGAAGUCGGAAUUGCUAGUAAUGGCAGGUCAGCAUACUGCCGUGAAUACGUUCCCGGGCCUUGUACACACCGCCCGU
rnacentral:rRNA from 1 species